AAAAAGAAGUUAGCACAUAAAAUGACUAGAGGACGUCUAAUAUCGUACAUUGUAACUCUUCAGCAGAAAUUGGGUUCACUAAUAAUUUGUUAGUAGCUACUUUGAAUAGCAUCAUAAUGAAUCUUGUAUACCUUUAGAAUCAGAAACCUUUUCUUGACCAGGUAAAGGAACGAAAUCAUGAUGAGAACUUAAAUAAUGAAUGGAAGAGUAAAAUUGUGUGGCAA